GACGAACGCUGGCGGCGUGCUUAACACAUGCAAGUCGAACGGAAAGGCCCUGCUUUUGCGGGGUGCUCGAGUGGCGAACGGGUGAGUAACACGUGAGUAACCUGUCCUUGACUUUGGGAUAACUUCAGGAAACUGGGGCUCAUACCGGAUAGGAGCUCCUGCUGCAUGGUGGGGGUUGGAAAGUUUCGGCGGUUGGGGAUGGGCUCGCGGCUUAUCAGCUUGUUGGUCGAGUAGUGGCUUACCAAGGUUUUGACGGGUAGCCGGCCUGUGAGGGGGGCCGGCGACCUUAGGACUGAGAGACGGCGCAGAAGGCUACGGGACGCAGCAGGCGGGAGUAUUGCACAAUGGGGGGAAGCCAGAUGCAGCAACGCCGCGUGCGGGAUACCGGCUUUCGGGUUAUAAACAGCUUUCGCCUGUGACAAAGCGUGAGUGACGGUAAUGGAUAAAGAAGCACCGGCUAACUACGUG
rnacentral:rRNA from 1 species